rnacentral:lncRNA from 12 species
GUGCAAUCAGCCCUUAGGGAUCCCUGGCACGGGGUCCGGAGGUGACGUGAGCCGACUUCCGCCUCGGAGGGACUUCAAGAACUGGCAGCGGAGGCCUCGGUCUGAGGUGGGCGUCCCUCAGGACACAGAGCUGAGGAGGUGUGGGCCAGAGCCACUUGUCGAGGUUCAGCCCGAAUCUGACACCAUGCCCCUAGGGAAGAGCAGCAAGCUUUGGAAGCAGGGAGAAGACCUAGAGGAGGCCCAGGGCCUGGUGGAUGCCCAGCUGUCUGGGGCUGAGGAGGAGGAGGAGGAAGGGGAGG